rnacentral:misc_RNA from 1 species
GAAAUGCGAUACCUGGUGUGAAUUGCAGAAUCCCGUGAACCAUCGAGUCUUUGAACGCAAGUUGCGCCCGAAGCCUUUUGGCCGAGGGCACGUCUGCCUGGGCGUUACGCAUCGCGUCUGCCCCCCGACCCCACCCUUGUGUGGGAAAAGGGGGAGGAGGAUGGCCUCCCACGCCUCACCGGGCGUGGCUGGCCUAAAAACGGACCUCAGGUCACGGACUGCUGCGGCGUAUGGUGGUAUACAAGGCAUUGCCUAGGAAGCAUCGCGUCGCGCAACACGUAGCCCGCGAGGACUCGUAGGACCCUAACUUUGUCUCCUCACUGCGGCAAAACCGUUGCGACCCCAGGUCGGGCGGGGCUACCCGCUGAGUUUAA